rnacentral:rRNA from 1 species
CAGCCCCUCGAGUGGUGGGGAUGAUUAUUUGGCCUAAAGCGUCCGUAGCCGGCCGAGCAAGUCUUCCGUUAAAUCCAGCGUCUCAAGCGUUGGACCGCGGGAGAUACUACACGGCUAGAGAGUGGGAGAGGUCAGCGGUAUUCUGGGGGUAGGGGCGAAAUCCUUUGAUCCCCGGAGGACCACCAGUGGCGAAGGCUGCUGACUAGAACACGUCUGACGGUCAGGGACGAAAGCUGGGGUAGCGAUCCGGAUUAGAUACCCGAGUAGUCC